rnacentral:ncRNA from 1 species
GUGCCACUUGGUACCGUUGUUAAAACUAUUACGAAAGAAUUAUUAGAUCAAAAUAAGAGCGAAGGUUUUUAAAUGAAAAUAGAUGUAAAAUUUUAAAUAGGGGGGUGGUUUAAAAAGUUGCAUUGGUUAUUUUCAGUAUUUAAAAUUAAUUAAAUUAUUGGGGGGUAAUUUUAGUUAAUUUAAUAUAAAGGAGUAAAAUGAUGUGCCAGCAUUCGCGGUUAUUCAUCAUCCUUGAGUCUUUGAUUUUAAUGGGAAGUGUAAAGUAUAUAGUUACUUGAUUUAUUUUAAUGGGGGUGAAAUAAAUUAAAGUUAAUUUUAUAUAGAGCAUUUUCAAAAUUUUGGGAUUAAACUAGGAUUAGAUACCCUAUUAUUCAAAUUUAGUUAAAAUUCUAUUUAGUAUUUUGAUUACACAAUAAAUUAAAUUGAUUUGGCGGUUUUUUAAUCUUUUUAGAGGAACCUGUAAAUUAAUUCGAUAAACCACGAUUUUAUAAACCUUAGUUUUCUUGUAUAUCUCUAUAAUUGAAUAUACUUUGAGGUUAAUUUUCUUUUUUUUUAGUUGAAUUUUAAUUUAGGUCAAGGUGCAGUUGUAUUUGGGAUUUAAUGGGUUACAACAACUUUUGUUUGUGGAUUUUUUAUUUAAAUAAAAAUAAAAUUGGAUUUAAAAGUAAAAUUUUUUAUUAAAAAAUUAGAAUAAUGCUCUGAAUUAUGUACAUAUCGCCCGUCAUUCUCAUCUAGUGAGACAAGUCGUAACAAAGUAGACGUAUUGGAAAAUGUGUCUAGCAGAUG